rnacentral:rRNA from 1 species
GUGAGGAAUUUUCCGCAAUGGGCGAAAGCCUGAUCCAGCAAUGCCGCGUGUGUGAAGAAGGCCUUCGGGUUGUAAAGCACUUUUGGCAGGGAAGAAACAGUGCGUGCUAAUACCAUGCGCGAAUGACGGUACCUGCAGAAUAAGCACCGGCUAACUACGUGCCAGCAGCCGCGGUAAUACGUAGGGUGCAAGCGUUAAUCGGAAUUACUGGGCGUAAAGCGUGCGCAGGCGGCUUUGUAAGACGGAUGUGAAUGCCCCGGGCUCAACCUGGGAAGUGCAUUCGUGACUGCAAGGCUAGAGUUUGUCAGAGGGAGGUGGAAUUCCGCGUGUAGCAGUGAAAUGCGUAGAGAUGCGGAGGAACACCGAUGGCGAAGGCAGCCUCCUGGGAUAACACUGACGCUCAGGCACGAAAGCGUGGGGAGCAAACAGGAUUAGAAACCCUGGUAGUCC